rnacentral:rRNA from 1 species
UCCGUAGGCGGGCAAUUAAGUCAGAGGUGAAAUCCCACAGCUCAACUGUGGAACUGCCUUUGAUACUGGUUGUCUUGAGUUAUAGUGAAGUAGAUAGAAUAUGUAGUGUAGCGGUGAAAUGCAUAGAUAUUACAUAGAAUACCGAUUGCGAAGGCAGUCUACUAACUGUGUACUGACGCUAAUGGACGAAAGCGUGGGGAGCGAACAGGAUUAGAUACCCUGGUAGUCC